UGCCCGGAGAAUGGAGGUGGUUCGCUGGCAGAAGCUGCGUGAUGGCUUCAAAGCUGGGCGUCUCAGUCCAGGACACAGGCCAGCUGCCGGCUUCGAGAAAACUGCUACCCACAGCCAGAUGCUCCUUCUCAACCUGCAUGAGGGAACAACACCAUCAACAGAGGCCUGGAAAACGAAGCCCCAGUAGAGCCCCAACUCACCCUUGGGUCCCCAAAGCUGAGCGAGGCCUGGCUCUAAACUGCUAUCGGUUCCCAAGCCAGAGGGUCCCUCCCCCAGGGGCGAACCCCUCCUGGAGACUCUACCCCUUACUCUACCAGAUGCAAAUGAGAUUGUGAACUUUUUAAUUGAAAGGUAGUUGAUGAUGAUAGUGUGAUCAUUUUAUUUUUGCUGCACAGCAGAGAGAUUCUGUGAUUCACACACACGUUCUUUUUUAUAUUCUUUAUAGUUCCCUGUGCGGCACAGCAGGGCCUUGUUGUUAAACCGUGAUUUGUCUGGAGGAGAAGAGGCAGUGUGCUGCAGGGGAACAGGUGCAGGUGUGGGGCGCGGAGGCUGCGCGCUCCCUGUCCAGACACGAAUAGUCCUACCUCAAGUCUGAUGCCAGGAGAGGGGGCUGCUGAACUCACCAGCCAAGCCACCCAUAGACAUGAACCUGAAGGGGACUCCUAAGGCAGAAAAAAGGGGACCAGAAACAUGAACUGGAGAAGCCCGGAGAGCCACAGAGCUGAGCAGAGAGCCGGGCAGAGUUCUGUUCGUCCAGAAAACAAAAACGAAGAAACUGGAUAUUUCUGCUGAAGCCUGGAAUGCACGCGAACAAAAGCCGUCUUCCUGCUGUCAUCAGCCUCGGCCCUCCGAGGAAUGAGGGUCUAGGAAAGGACCCCCCCCGCCACAGGACGAAAGGUCAGGCAAAGCCUCCCUCCAGCAGUCUGGAACUUUCUGUCGGCAGAACAGCCAGUUCAAGAAGUAAAGGCACAGGAGUUCCCGUGGUGGUGCCAUGGUGAACGAAUCCGACUAGGAACCACGAGGUUGCGGGUUCGAUCCCU